CUACGGGAUGCUCCAGUGGGGAAUAUUGCACAAUGGGCGCAAGCCUGAUGCAGCCAUGCCGCGUGUAUGAAGAAGGCCUUCGGGUUGUAAAGUACUUUCAGCGGGGAGGAAGGGAGUAAAGUUAAUACCUUUGCUCAUUGACGUUACCCGCAGAAGAAGCACCGGCUAACUCCGUGCCAGCAGCCGCGGUAAUACGGAGGGUGCAAGCGUUAAUCGGAAUUACUGGGCGUAAAGCGCACGCAGGCGGUUUGUUAAGUCAGAUGUGAAAUCCCCGGGCUCAACCUGGGAACUGCAUCUGAUACUGGCAAGCUUGAGUCUCGUAGAAGGGGGUAGAAUUCCAGGUGUAGCGGUGAAAUGCGUAGAGAUCUGGAGGAAUACCGGUGGCGAAGGCGGCCCCCUGGACGAAGACUGACGCUCAGGUGCGAAAGCGUGGGGAGCAAACAGGAUUAGAUACCCUUGUAGUC
rnacentral:rRNA from 1 species